AAAUUGAAGAGUUUGAUCAUGGCUCAGAUUGAACGCUGGCGGCAGGCCUAACACAUGCAAGUCGAACGGUAACAGGAAGCAGCUUGCUGCUUUGCUGACGAGUGGCGGACGGGUGAGUAAUGUCUGGGAAACUGCCCGAUGGAGGGGGAUAACUACUGGAAACGGUGGCUAAUACCGCAUAACGUCGCAAGACCAAAGAGGGGGACCUUCGGGCCUCUUGCCAUCAGAUGUGCCCAGAUGGGAUUAGCUUGUUGGUGAGGUAACGGCUCACCAAGGCGACGAUCCCUAGCUGGUCUGAGAGGAUGACCAGCCACACUGGAACUGAGACACGGUCCAGACUCCUACGGGAGGCAGCAGUGGGGAAUAUUGCACAAUGGGCGCAAGCCUGAUGCAGCCAUGCCGCGUGUAUGAAGAAGGCCUUCGGGUUGUAAAGUACUUUCAGCGGGGAGGAAGGUGUUGUGGUUAAUAACCGCAGCAAUUGACGUUACCCGCAGAAGAAGCACCGGCUAACUCCGUGCCAGCAGCCGCGGUAAUACGGAGGGUGCAAGCGUUAAUCGGAAUUACUGGGCGUAAAGCGCACGCAGGCGGUCUGUCAAGUCGGAUGUGAAAUCCCCGGGCUCAACCUGGGAACUGCAUUCGAAACUGGCAGGCUUGAGUCUUGUAGAGGGGGGUAGAAUUCCAGGUGUAGCGGUGAAAUGCGUAGAGAUCUGGAGGAAUACCGGUGGCGAAGGCGGCCCCCUGGACAAAGACUGACGCUCAGGUGCGAAAGCGUGGGGAGCAAACAGGAUUAGAUACCCUGGUAGUCCACGCCGUAAACGAUGUCUACUUGGAGGUUGUGCCCUUGAGGCGUGGCUUCCGGAGCUAACGCGUUAAGUAGACCGCCUGGGGAGUACGGCCGCAAGGUUAAAACUCAAAUGAAUUGACGGGGGCCCGCACAAGCGGUGGAGCAUGUGGUUUAAUUCGAUGCAACGCGAAGAACCUUACCUGGUCUUGACAUCCACAGAACUUUCCAGAGAUGGAUUGGUGCCUUCGGGAACUGUGAGACAGGUGCUGCAUGGCUGUCGUCAGCUCGUGUUGUGAAAUGUUGGGUUAAGUCCCGCAACGAGCGCAACCCUUAUCCUUUGUUGCCAGCGGUCCGGCCGGGAACUCAAAGGAGACUGCCAGUGAUAAACUGGAGGAAGGUGGGGAUGACGUCAAGUCAUCAUGGCCCUUACGACCAGGGCUACACACGUGCUACAAUGGCGCAUACAAAGAGAAGCGACCUCGCGAGAGCAAGCGGACCUCAUAAAGUGCGUCGUAGUCCGGAUUGGAGUCUGCAACUCGACUCCAUGAAGUCGGAAUCGCUAGUAAUCGUGGAUCAGAAUGCCACGGUGAAUACGUUCCCGGGCCUUGUACACACCGCCCGUCACACCAUGGGAGUGGGUUGCAAAAGAAGUAGGUAGCUUAACCUUCGGGAGGGCGCUUACCACUUUGUGAUUCAUGACUGGGGUGAAGUCGUAACAAGGUAACCGUAGGGGAACCUGCGGUUGGAUCACCUCCUUACCUUAAAGAA
rnacentral:rRNA from 1 species